CUGCACAGCCAGUUGUCUGUGUGCUGCCCGCAGGUGCCCUGGGAAGGUGAAGUGUGGGCACUUGCUCCCCCAGGGCCCUGGUGGGAAAUCACUGGGUGAGGGUCCAGCGGUCUCUCCCAAGAAGCUACAGGAAAUUAAUAACAAGGACCAACUGCAAACCACAGCCCACCCCCACCCCAAAAGGAGAAGAUAAGGGGGCCAUGGUCUGAUGUGAUGAAGACAGAAGUGAAACUCUAAGGAUCAGUGAAGGACUUUCAUCAGUGGCAGUGGCCUUGGCUGAUGUUGGUGUUCUGUGGAGCUGGUUCUGCUCAACAGGAGAAUGGCAGGCGACAUUCUUUGUCCACAAGACCAAGGCCUGGCUGCGGUGAAGAGGAAACUUCCUGGCAGGCACAGAAACCUCCGCGUUCCCUCCGGGAGAAGGAGCCCUGCAGGCAACGACCUAUUUCAGCUGCGGGAUGGGAUGCCUUUGGAAAGAGCCUUAUUGUGACUUCUCCUGCAGUAAGAGAUUCGCUGGGGGAUCUGGGAACACGCUCUGUACAGAGCAAAGGACUGAAUUGUUCUUCCAUAAUUUCCACGUACAAAUGAGAGUUCAGAAAGCCAGGCGGCACUUCAGGGGCAUGUCCUCUGUGCUGUGGCCAUUCUGUGCUCAUGCCUCGUUUCCUCACGUAGACGGGAAGCCACAGACGGCAGGAAGCCAAAACAACCCGUACCUCCUGGUAGCUACCUUCCCCCACCCCACCCCAACCCCUGCCCUCCCAGCUCAGGCCACUUGCCUGACUCAUAGUCCAGGCCUCACUAAAAGAUGCAGAUAAAUGUUUGUUGUUAGGGACGAUGGUGAAGCUGGAACAUGACCCGUGGCCAUGUAGAAGGCUGAGCUUCUCCAGAGAAAUGGGAGCAGGAGCCUCCUGUCUGUCCCUCUGCACCCCCACACUCCCCCAGGGACCAGACACUGCUGACCGUGCAUCUGCCUACACCCCCAGUCCCCAAACCCUUGAGAAGACCCAGUGAAGCGUGCCUGCCUGGGCUUUGGCUGCAGGGUCUCCCUGCAUCCCCCUCACUGGGCCACGCUGUGCAUCCUGUGCUGCUGAAAUCUGAGGGUCCCCCAUGAGAGGCACAAAGCCCAUCUGGAUGUCCUCAGAGAUUUCAUCUAGUUCUCAUCGUUUGGGUCUACUAUCCCCCCCUAAGUUUCCUUCUGGGAGACAAGGCCCUUUUGGAAAGGCCUCUCAGAGCUGGCCCUGCUGAGCCGAGGGCAGGGGCUCUCUUGGGAGACUGGCUGCUCUGCCCCUCAGGGCUCCCUCUCCCCUUCUCUCCUUAGAGCCCAGGAGCCUGCCAGCCCCACCAGCCACACGUGGGAAGGAGGGAGGGAAGGGCUUAGGCCAUCACGAGAUGACUUCUGCCGCCUCCUAUCUGUACGAUGGACUCCUUGUGUUAGCAGAGGCCUCUCCCACCAUUUCCAGGGGUAGGAUCUCUUUCUGACAUUGUGGUAGUGUGAAUAACGGCCCCUCAAAGAUGGCGAUGUCCAGCUCUCUGGAUGCUGGGAAUAGGAAACCUCACAUGGUCAAAAGGACUUUACAGAUGUGAUUUAGUUGAGGAUCUUGAGAUGGGAAACUUGUCGUGGUUUACC